rnacentral:lncRNA from 10 species
CUAAGAGAAAGUGCUGCUGCAAAAAGAGUUUAAUGAGAGGAAAAACAUUAACAUCUGCCAUUUUUCUAAAUUGAAUGUGAAAGAUGAUCCUGACAGGCUGAACAAAGAUGCUUGCUCUCUGUUGUGAUGUUUGACAAGGGAAUCUUCCUUCAUUUUCUCCUCUGAUGAGCCUCUCUACCAGAUAAGCAGCAGCAGGAACCAAA